GUGAAAUCCAAAAAUUCAUCACCAAGACCAAUGUCCAGGAGCUUACCACUUAUGUUUUCUUCUAAGAGUUUUGUGAUUUCAGUUAUUAGAUUCAAAUCUUUAAUCCAUUUUGAGUUAGGUUUUGUGUAUGGUAUAAGAUAGAGGUCCAGUUUCAUUCCUUUACAUUUGGCUGUUCAAUUUUCCCAAUACCAUUUAUAGGAGCGAAUGUCCUUUCCCCAUUGUAUCUUCUUGGCUCCUUUGCAUGGACUUAUUUCUAGCCUCACUUGAAAGAAAUCUUAAGACUCACAGAGCAUACUCAUGUAAGGCCUUUACCUAAAGGCCACAGAGGCAGUGCAACAAGAAAAAGAGAAUGCAGACAAACAUUUGGGAUCCUGGGGACUUCCAAGGGCAAUCUCCCCAGGGUUCUUAUUCACACAUCACCUGCGUUCUGCCUUCAGAUUAAACUACCAAGAUCUGUGUAAGGACUUGUAGUUCUGGGGAAGCUCAAGAAAGAAGUUUCCCUCUGAGUUUUUAUUCCCCACUGGUCAUGUUUUCAAGUUAGGCUACCUAACUGGUUGUGCCGGGUGAAAACCAUGAGUCAACAAACUGGCCCUAGAGGUUGCCAUGUGAGUUUAAACUUUAAACAGCACAUUAUAAAUUCCACUACUCUUGUCUUUGCCAAGAGUCAAAGGCAGACAACCAAGAGUCCCCAGUGAUAAGACUAUACAUUUUUUUAUCCAGUUCGGCUAUAAGGUUUAACAGGUUUUGGCUAUGUGACAAGAGAGGGAUAAAAGAACACUCAAUAAACUUGUGUCUUGAUUUCUCCAAGACUGAGAUACUGCACACACAACGUGAUGGUUCAUGUUCCAGAGACAGAGCAUGUCCUGCAUGAUUGGAAGAAGACCCUGGAAGAUAUGCAUGGACGUCUAGGAUCUUCCUGAUGUUUACCUGUGCUUUCUUUCUCCUGUGGUGCCCAUAAAGGGAUGAAUGGAUAAAGAAGAUGUGGUAUAUAUACUAAUGGAAUACUACUCAGCAAUAAGAAAUGAUGAAAUCUGGUCAUUUGUGACAACAUGGAUGGUCCUUGAGGGUAUUAUGUUAAGUGAAAUAAGUCAGAGGGAGAAAGUCAAAUACCAUAUGAUCUCACUCAUGCGUGGAAGAUAAAAGCAAGGACAAACAAACACAUAGCAAAAGAGAUUGGAUUGGUGGUUACCAUGGGGGGGUGUCGCAGAAGUGGGGAUUAGGCACACAUGUGUGGUGAUGGAUUAUAAUUAGUUUUUGGGUGGUGAACAUGAUGUGAUCUGCACAGUGUUCAAGGUAUAUUGUGAUGUACAUCUGAGGGCUAUAUAAUGUUAUAAUCCAAUGUUACUGUGAAAGAAAGAAAGAAAGAAAGAAAGAAAGAGAAAGAAAGAAAGAAAG
rnacentral:lncRNA from 1 species